rnacentral:rRNA from 1 species
CGGGACGGGUGAGUAACGCGUGGGUAACCUGCCUCAUACAGGGGGAUAACGAUUGGAAACGAUUGCUAAUACCGCAUAAGCGCACAGUACCACAUGGUACAGUGUGAAAAACUCCGGUGGUAUGAGAUGGACCCGCGUCUGAUUAGCUAGUUGGUGAGGUAACGGCCCACCAAGGCAACGAUCAGUAGCCGACCUGAGAGGGUGACCGGCCACAUUGGGACUGAGACACGGCCCAA